AUUGAACGCUGGCGGCAGGCCUAACACAUGCAAGUCGAGCGGAGAGGCGGACGGGGGGGUAAUACCUAGGAAGCUGCCCGGUAGUGGGGGAUAACGUUCGGAAACGGAAGCUAAGACCGCAUACUAUCAGAUGAGCCUAGGGCGGAGUAGCUAGUGGGGGAGGAAAUGGCUUACAAAGGCGACGAUCCGUAGCGGGUCUGAGAGGAUGAUCAGUCACACUGGAACUGAGACACGGUCCAGACUCCUACGGGAGGCAGCAGUGGGGAAUAUUGGACAAUGGGCGAAAGCCUGAUCCAGCCAUGCCGCGUGUGUGAAGAAGGUCUUCGGAUUGUAAAGCACUUUAAGUUGGGAGGCGUUACCGACAGAAUAAGCACCGGCUAACUCUGUGCCAGCAGCCGCGGUAAUUC
rnacentral:rRNA from 1 species